AUGUGCAAUUCUCUCCUGAAGUGAGAGGGCCCAGCGGGAUCUGCUUGUAGAGGUGAAGUCGGCCAUUUAGUCUGGCUAGAGUAUAGGGCCUGAGGAACAGGCCUGGAGGAGUCUCGGAGAAGCCUCACAUUUAAGAAUCAUGGAAACGGAGGCCAGAGAGGGCGAGGGAUGUGCUUGAGUCACUGCAACCCAGGCCUCUUCCUCUUUCCACUGCACCCCAUGGUCUUCCUGGAGAACUCAGAGGCCCUGGCCAGAAGACCAUCAGAAGCUGGAGCGUGAAGCCCGCAUCUGCCGCCUGCUGAAGCACCCCAACAUCGUCCGACUACAUGACAGCAUCUCAGAGGAGGGACACCACUACCUGAUCUUCGACCUGGUCACUGGUGGGGAACUGUUUGAAGAUAUCGUGGCCCGGGAGUAUUACAGUGAGGCGGAUGCCAGUCACUGUAUCCAGCAGAUCCUGGAGGCUGUGCUGCACUGCCACCAGAUGGGGGUGGUGCACCGGGACCUGAAGCCUGAGAAUCUGUUGCUGGCCUCCAAGCUCAAGGGUGCCGCAGUGA
rnacentral:lncRNA from 1 species